UUCCUAUGUAGGGUGAACCAGGACAGAUUAUUAAGGUAGAAGGAGCGAUCCACAGCUCGAAUGUGAUGCUUUACUCAAAAGAAAAGGAUGUAGCAAGUCGAGUGGGUCAUAAGAUUCUGGAAAAUGGACAACGAGUUCGCUACCUCAUCAAAACUGGUGAAAUAGUAGAUAAUGCAGAGAACUGGAAGAAACUGAAAGAAGAAAAAAGGAAAACUGAAGUAGCUGCCACUUCUGCAUAAGGAGCCAAUUCUUGCCUGAACAAUGUUGUAGUUUAGACACUCUAGAUGUAUUCAUAUCAUUUUGUUGUUUGUAUUGGUUCAAUACCUCGGCAUGCCCCUUGACUGAUGCACAUGCAACAGAGUAAUAUAAGUUUGUGUAUUUGUGUUGGUUGAAUGGCAAAUUAGAAUGUUGAUCUUU